CAGUAGCUGUAUCAGCUCUAGACAAAUGCAGGAGGCACUUGCAGAGAUCACAGUCAUCUGAUCUAUGGCAGUUGGGCAUAUCUCAUCUUUUAAAAAUCAGCAAAAUAUUGAAUGGCAAAUCAGAAGCCGCUUGGGCUACACUCUGGAAGCCUGAAAUGUCUUCUGACUGGUUUCCAUGCAUCAGGAAUAUGAGAAUAGACUUAGGAAAAACUGUGCACAAUAAAGCUGGUGUGAAUACUGGAGCAAAGAGCUGCUUGAAGUUCAUAUUAUACUCUCUGAAUAGUUCUCUAAAUUUUAGUGAAGAGUUUUUGUUUCAUGGAGAUAUGACAAGCAUUCUUCACCCUCUGUUUUUUCUCUGACAUUCUGCAAAUGCCACUUCAUUUAUGCAAGGGACAUUUGGUUAUCGACAUGGCUGGAGAGGGAGCAAGGAAGGACAAUGGCACUGAGUGAAGCACAAACACAGAUAAAUAACACAAAUACAAAACAUAUGCAAAUCAUAUUAUAAAGAUGCACAGAGAAAGUGGAGUGGAGCUGGGAGGUGUGAGUGAGCUAAUACUGAUCUGAGCCAGUUAGACACUUGCCAUGUGAGCCUGGUUAUUCAGGCAGUGACAGAUGCCUCCAUGCCUGGCACCUGUGUGCCCUGCCCUGUAUUGUGGUAAGCUGGCUCUGUUUCAGGUCAGUUUUUUUUCCCAGUUGCUCCUGAGUCCUUUGGUGCUAAUCUUUUUGUUUCAGCUGAGUUUUUUUAACCCACUCUUUGGGCUGCAAAACUAAAUUUUUGGUAGGGUAUUUCCAAACUUCAAGAUCAAAUCAGUAGAGUUCCUAGAAAUGCCAUGAUAUUGCUUCCUGCAGAAUGGGUGACAUCUGAAGAUUUCUGCUUUGGACUGACAUGACUGUAUAAAAGUAUCAUUUGCAGGAUGUGGAGAAAAUAAAUCCCUGAACACUUAUGGGAGUGUAUAAGAAAACUAUAAAGAUAGAAUAAAUUGGAGAGAUGCCAGAAAUUAAAUAAGUCUGAAGUGGUUGCUUUCUUUUUCUUUUCCCAAAUUUCCUAUUUUAGUUGAAGUGCACCUUCUUGCUCACCAAAUUUGUAUUAAUAUGUAGAGCUCAAAGUACAUUUUUGUAUAAUGGAAUACAAGCUUACAAAACAAAAGCAAAUCUUACAGCAAUAAACCAAGGACAAGCAAGAGC
rnacentral:lncRNA from 7 species